rnacentral:rRNA from 1 species
ACGCCUUAUACAUGCAAGUCGAACGCAGUAGCAAUACUGAGUGGCAGACGGGUGAGUAUAAUGUGGGAAUCUGCCUUUUGGUUUGGAAUAACUCGGGGAAACUUGAGCUAAUACCGGAUAAGCCCUUACGGGGAAAGCUUUACGCGCCAAAAGAUGAGCCCGCACUUGAUUAGCUUGUUGGUGAGGUAAUGGCUCACCAAGGCAACGAUCAAUAGCUGUUCUUAGAGGAAGACCAGCCACAUUGGGACUGAGACACGGCCCAGACUCCUACGGGAGGCAGCAGUAAGGAAUCUUGCACAAUGGGGGAAACCCUGAUGCAGCGAUGCCGCGUGAGUGAAGAAGGCCUUUGGGUUGUAAAACUCUUUCGUCGGGGAAGAAAAUGACUGUACCCGAAUAAGAAGGUCCGGCUAACUUCGUGCCAGCAGCCGCGGUAAUACGAAGGGACCUAGCGUAGUUCGGAAUUACUGGGCUUAAAGAGCUCGUAGGUGGUUAAAAAAGUUGAUGGUGAAAUCCCAAGGCUCAACCUUGGAACUGCCAUCAAAACUCUUUAGCUAGAGUGUGAUAGAGGAAAGUGGAAUUUCUAGUGUAGAGGUGAAAUUCGUAGAUAUUAGAAAGAACACCAAAAGCGAAGGCAACUUUCUGGAUCAUUACUGACACUGAGGAGCGAAAGCAUGGGUAGCGAAGAGGAUUAGAUACCCUCGUAGUCCAUGCUGUAAACGAUGUGUGCUAGACGUUGGAAAUUUAUUUUUCAGUGUCGCAGCAAAAGCGUUAAGCACACCGCCUGGGGAGUACGACCG